GUAAAGCAUUACCUUCAGACACGUUCAGCAAAAGAGAAGUUAUGAAGGAUACCAGACAUACAUAAAGAUCUACCAAAUAUGGAUGAAUUCCAUAAGACAGAAGAGAGCCAGA
rnacentral:lncRNA from 1 species